AGAGUUUGAUCCUGGCUCAGGACGAACGCUGGCGGCAUGCCUAAUACAUGCAAGUCGAACGCCAAAUCUUCCUGCUUGCAGGAAGAGGCGGAGUGGCGAACGGGUGAGUAACACGUGAGGAACUUGCCCAUAAGAGGGGGAUAACACCCGGAAACGGGUGCUAAUACCGCAUAGGUUUUCCCAGUGCAUGCUGGGAAAAUAAAAGGUGGCUCUGCUACCGCUUAUGGAUAGCCUCGCGGCGCAUUAGCUAGUUGGUAGGGUAAAGGCCUACCAAGGCCAUGAUGCGUAGCCGACUUGAGAGGGUGAUCGGCCACACUGGAACUGAGACACGGUCCAGACUCCUACGGGAGGCAGCAGUAGGGAAUCUUCCACAAUGGGUGCAAGCCUGAUGGAGCAAUGCCGCGUGAGUGAAGAAGGACUUCGGUUCGUAAAGCUCUGUUGUUGGGGAAGAACACGGAUAGGAGUCACUGCCUAUCCCUUGACGGUACCCAACCAGAAAGUCACGGCUAACUACGUGCCAGCAGCCGCGGUAAUACGUAGGUGACAAGCGUUGUCCGGAUUUAUUGGGCGUAAAGCGAGCGCAGGCGGUCCGGUAAGUCUGAUGUGAAAGCCCACGGCUCAACCGUGGAACGGCAUUGGAAACUGGCGGACUUGAAUGUAGCAGAGGAAAGUGGAAUUCCAUGUGUAGCGGUGGAAUGCGUAGAUAUAUGGAGGAACACCAGUGGCGAAAGCGACUUUCUGGGCUAUGAUUGACGCUGAGGCUCGAAAGCGUGGGGAGCGAACAGGAUUAGAUACCCUGGUAGUC
rnacentral:rRNA from 1 species